CCUGCCUCGUGUAGCAAGUGCCUCGGAGGGUCGCCCUCCACUGCAACUGCCUGGAUCAGUCUGCGGAUCUGGCGCCCUCUGCUGCAGAGGCUGGGCACAGAUAGGGAACCUGUGGCCCUCCAGACACUGUUGGACUCUCAGCACCCAUCAACCCCAGCCAACAUGGCCAAUAGUCAGUAUGAGGAUUAACAGCAAGACAACAAAAAAGGAGUCUGCAAGCACUUAGGAUUGCUGAGACACAUACUAUGAGCCCGGAAGGAUAAAUACCAACUGUCUAUUAUGCAAUUGACUGAGGACCUCACAACCCUGGCUACAUUUGAACGUAUUUCAUAUAGAUGUCAAUUUUGCAUGGAUAUCUAUUUGGACACCUAGAAGGCCUAUAUUAACAUACAUGUUUAACUUA